GUGAACGCUGGCGGUAGGCCUAACACAUGCAAGUCGAACGGCAGCACAGUAAGAGCUUGCUCUUACGGGUGGCGAGUGGCGGACGGGUGAGGAAUACAUCGGAAUCUACUUUUUCGUGGGGGAUAACGUAGGGAAACCUACGCUAAUACCGCAUACGACCUACGGGUGAAAGCAGGGGAACUUCGGACCUUGCGCGAUUGAAUGAGCCGAUGUCGGAUUAGCUAGUUGGCGGGGUAAAGGCCCACCAAGGCGACGAUCCAUAGCUGGUCUGAGAGGAUGAUCAGCCACACUGGAACUGAGACACGGUCCAGACUCCUACGGGAGGCAGCAGUGGGGAAUAUUGGACAAUGGGCGCAAGCCUGAUCCAGCCAUACCGCGUGGGUGAAGAAGGCCUUCGGGUUGUAAAGCCCUUUUGUUGGGAAAGAAAAGCAGCAGGUUAAUACCCCGCUGUUCUGACGGUACCCAAAGAAUAAGCACCGGCUAACUUCGUG
rnacentral:rRNA from 1 species